AGUGUACUUCGUUUGAAACGGCAUCCUUUUGUGACAAAUGUCAGGACUCAAUUAACAAUGAAUUUUCCUGGAACAAAAGAUAUAGUGGAUAGCCCGACCGGAG
rnacentral:sRNA from 1 species